AUUGAACGCUGGCGGCAUGCUUUACACAUGCAAGUCGAACGGUAACAGGCCUUCGGGUGCUGACGAGUGGCGCACGGGUGAGUAAUGCAUCGGAACGUGCCCAGAGGUGGGGGAUAACGCAGCGAAAGCUGUGCUAAUACCGCAUGUGAUCUGAGGAUGAAAGCGGGGGACCAAGCAGCAAUGUUUGGCCUCGCGCCUCUGGAGCGGCCGAUGUCAGAUUAGGUAGUUGGUGGGGUAAAGGCCUACCAAGCCGACGAUCUGUAGCUGGUCUGAGAGGACGACCAGCCACACUGGGACUGAGACACGGCCCAGACUCCUACGGGAGGCAGCAGUGGGGAAUUUUGGACAAUGGGCGCAAGCCUGAUCCAGCAAUGCCGCGUGCGGGAAGAAGGCCCUCGGGUUGUAAACCGCUUUUGUACGGAACGAAAAGGCUCUGGCUAAUACCUGGGGCUGAUGACGGUACCGUAAGAAUAAGCACCGGCUAACUACGUG
rnacentral:rRNA from 1 species